ensembl:lincRNA
AUUAUCCUGACAAAUUAAAUAAACCACUCCAUUGCAGAAAGGCUCGGGCCGGCAGGCCUCGCUCCACUGCAGCCCCGGGAAGUCGAAUCAACACUGAGGUGGAACUGCUGGCAGUUCCAGCUAACUUCAGCCAGGGAGGAAAAUGCCAGGGGGUGCUCAGGACCUGAGCGGGUCAGCGGCACCCCGAGCCGCCCUGCAGCAGGUACCGACCACUGCGCCGAGGGCUGAGGCUCCCGGAAGUGCGGAGAGUUCCUUCCCACUGUGUGGCCCUGGAAGCGUGAAUGGUCAUCCCCUGCAGGGGGGCUACUGCAAAUUACCUGCUCUGCUGUUCCUGCAAGUGGCUCUUCCCUCAGCAGGAGGCUUAGGUGUCCAGGAAGCUGUGCUCACAAAGAUCUUCAUUUAGGAAAAUCAUCCGAAAGCCCUUUAAAAGCUCCCAAGCAACAGGGCUUCCCGUGUGUCAACCUAUUUAACUCUCAUGGCAACUCUACAUGUUCUACUUGUAUAAUUUGCAUUUUAAGAAUAAAGAGAUUGUGACCCAGAGACAUGGAAUAACUGAACCAAGAACACACAGUGGUCGAGGGCAUAGCUGUGGUUUGAACCCGACCCUGACUCACUUCAAAGCACAUUCUCUCUCUGCAUGAGAGACAGGAUCGAAGACUGACAUUUUAAUCUGCUCUGUGCAAGCAGAAAAGAGUUCUUCGGGAGACAAGUGGCCACUAUGAGCAGCCAAGAAGCCAGUGGAUAAAAUAUGCUUUCACUGUGUAUUCUGUGCAAAUGAUCUCAACCAUAAAAUCUGACAGCUUGUAAAUAAUGGCGUAAGGAAUCCAGAGAGAAGAGAGGUAAAAUUAAUGCAGAGGCUGGCUGUCCCAACCCUGUAGCUGUGGCCCAAUUCUCUGCUUCCCAACCCAUAACAGCAUUUCACGGACAGUCACUUCAUUUCAAUGUUCCUGCACUCUCUGUCAGUGUCUAAAUGAUGGAGGGCUUAUAACCCGAAUGGUCAUUUAUUUUAGGAAGCACACAGGAUUGAAAGCAAGUUUAUAUUUUAUAAUCAUAGAAACUAGUUUAUAUUUCAACAAGGAUAAAGCAGCAUGGAUGAUAAUAAGUAACUAGACAUUAAAAAUUAAAUAUGUACCUGCUAAACUAAGACUUAAAGUAAUCAGAGAAACUCACCAACUGUCUUUAGACUGUAGGGUUGGCAGAAUGUAUUUUUAUCAUUAUUUUAAAAUACAAAAUGGUCAGUCUUUUUUCCUGUAAAACACUGAAUCUAAACACACACUCCAGGAACGUGCCAAACACAGUCGUGAAGCAUUCACGACACUGCUGUCUGGGGACCCACCGUAGGAGCCGUCACCAAGCAGUGUGCUGCAUUAUUCUUCUCCAAAUCUACGAGGCCAGUCUGAAAACCUGUAGGAGAGCAGUGCUUCCAGAGAUCCUCUCACCAUGCAGAUGAGACGCCUGGGGACCCCUGAGCUCUGCCGCUCUGCCGCUCCUGCUGACAUGUGUGCUGCUGGUCACGGAGCACCGCGUUUCCAAGAGGCCAAGUUCAGAAGGGCAGCCCUUGAAGGACAGAGGGUAUUAGAACACCUGCGGUUGUACCAACAGAAAGAAUGCUCGAUCGUCUCCCAAUUGUUCUUCACGUGUAAGUAAGAUGGUCUUCAGGAGCCAAAUAAGACUUUAUUUAGCUCAGCAUGGCUUUAAUGUUAUCUCUGUCACUGCACAUGACUACCCAACUGGCAAAUGAAACCCAUUUUUUCAGAUUUUUUUAUCAAGAUGCAGAGCUUCAGUGUUUGAGAUCAGCUGGAAGAAGGCAGAGAGCUCAGCCUCAAGGAAAAGUCCUUCCAAGUGCAUCUCAUCGGAAGAGGGUGAGUUUUGUGUGUGUGUGUGCGUGUGUGUGUGUGCAAAUGUCUCCAAGAUAGCGAGAUGGUAAAACAAAAAGUGUGUGUUCGUGUCAAGUAGCAAAGAAAAAAAUAGAAAGGAUGAGGCAGGAAAGGUCCCCACAGUCAGCCC